AUGGACACAUCCUCCUAACCAAGGCUCUGCUGGAGACCAGGGCACAGGCCAUCUGUAGUAGCUACUCAUCCUCAGUAUUACCAAUGCCCUGCUAGACAGGCCUGUGUGUAUGUGUGUGUGUGUGUGUGUGUGUGUGUGUGUACAGUACUGCUAGUUAGACAGUCAUGAGUGUAGGCUGAAGGCCCCAUCGCUCCCAAUAAAUGAAUGAGCACUCAGCAGGAAUGGAUGUGACGGGCACUCCCACUGACAAACACCUGGCUAACUUCUAAUGGCUGGCUGGCAAUCCUCAGCUGCUUGGCUAGUUUUAAGUGGCUUCAUUUCACAAUGAUGCUUAUUAUAAAUGGACAACUUGAUGUUGGAUGUUGGAGGGAAGAGAAUAAUAACAUCGACCUCAGCACUACAGUACUUGCAUCGAAGCAAAGAAUUUAUCAAGUAACCACACAGUUGAAGUCGGAAGUUUACAAACACUUUAGCCAAAUACAUUUAAACUCAGUUUUUCACAAUUCCUGACAUUUAAUCCUAGUCAAUAUUCCCUGUCUUAGGUCAGAUAGGAUCACCACUUUAAAAAAUAAUUUCUGGGCACCAUGGUGUCUUGUUUCUCUUUCAAAGAAAUCAAAGACUGUUCUAUGCAGGUUAUUGCAUUGUCAAUGGUCUGCUAUACUACAGACACACAGCUAGUUCAGCACAUGACAGAUUUGAAAGAACAAACCAGAGUACACUACACAGCUUCAGAACCCCCUCUGAAAAAUCAUUUCUGGGCACCAUGGCGGCUUUUUUCUCUUUCAAAUAAAUCAAAGACUGUUCUAUGCAUCGUCAAUGGUCUGCUAUACUACAGACACACAGCUAGUUCAGCACAUGACAGAUUUGAAAGAACAAACCAGAGUACACUGUACAAUAUCACAGGGAUUGCUCAGGGACGCAUCAGAUCUACAGACACAAAGUACUUUCCAGUGCAUGUUUAUUACAGAAGAAUGCUAAAGUAGACAGAAAUGAUUGAACCCAUAACCAAUGCCCAGUGACAAAAAAAAAUGUUUUGGCAAAUUAUCUGCAGGGUACUGAUCCAGCUCCAAAGCAUUGACCAGACAAUGGUCAUACUGUAGUUAUGUACAGUUGAAGUCGGAAGUUUACAGACACCUUAGCCAAACACAUUUAAACUCAGUUUUUCACAAUUCCUGACAUUUAUUCAGAGUAAAAAUUCCCUGUUUUAGGUCAGUUAGGAUCACCACUUUAUUUUUGAAAAAUUUGAAAAGUCAGAAUAAUAGUAGAGAGAAUGAUGUAUUUCAGCUUUUAUUUCUUUCAUCACAUUCCCAGUGGGUCAGAAGUUUACAUACACUCAAUUAGUAUUUGGUAGCAUUGCCUUUAAAUUGUUUAACUUGGGUCAAACCUAGUAGCCUUCCACAAGCUUCCCACAAUAAGUUGGGUGAAUUUUGGCCCAUUCCUCCUGACAGAACUGGUGUAACUGAGUCAGGAUUGUAAGGCCUCCUUGCUCGCACACGCUUUUUCAGUUCUGCCCACAAUUUUUCUAAAGGAUUGAGGUCAGGGCUUUGCGAUGGCCACUCCAAUACCUUAACUUUGUUGUCCUUAAGCCAUUUUGCCACAACUUUGGAAGUAUGAUUGGGGUCAUUGUCCAUUUGGAAGACCCAUUUGCGACCAAGCUUUAACUUCCUGACUGAUGUCUUGAGAUGUUGCUUCAAUAUAUCCACAUAAUUUUCCUCUUCAUGAUGCCAUCUACUUUGUGAAGUGCACCAGUCGCUCCUGCAGCAAAGCACCCCCACAACAUGAUGCUGCCACCCCCGUGCUUCACAGUUGGAUUGGUGUUUCUUCUGCUUGCAAGCCUCCCCCUUUUUCCUCCAAACAUAAUAAUGGUCACUAUGACCAAACAGUUCUAUUAUUGUUUCAUCAGACCAGAGGACAUUUAUCCAAAAAGUGCGAUCUUUGUCCCCAUGUGCAGUUGCAAACCGUAGUCUUGCUUUUUAUUGCGGUUUAGGAGCAGUGGCUUCUUCCUUGCUGAGCGGUCUUUCAGGUUAUGUCAAUAUAGAAUACGUUUUACUGUGGAUAUAGAUACUUUUGUACCUGUUUCCUUUGCAAAGGUCCUUUGCUGUUGUUCUGGGAUUGAUUUGCACUUUUCGCACCAAAGUACAUUAAUCUCUAGGCGACUGAACACGUAUCCUUUCUGAGUGGUAUGACAGGUGCGUGGUCCCAUGGUGUUUAUACUUGCGUAAUAUUGUUUGUACAGAUGAACGUGGUACCUUCAGGCGUUUGGAAAUUGCUCCCAAGGAUCAACCAGACUUGUGGAGGUCUACAAUUUCUUUCUGAGGUCUUGGCUGAUUUCUUUAGAUUUUCCCAUGAUGACAAGCAAAGACGCACUGAGUUUGAAGGUAGGCCUUGAAUAUGUCCACAGGUACACCUCCAAUUGACUCAAAUGAUGUCAAUUAGCCUAUCAGAAGCUUCUAAAGCCAUUAAUUUUUUUUGAAUUUUCCAUGCUGUUUAAAGGCAUAGUCAACUUAGUGUAUGUAAACUUCUGACCCACUGGAAUUGUGAUACAGUAAAUUAUAAGUGAAAUAAUUGUUGGACAAAUAACUUGUGUCAUGCACAAAGUAGAUGUCCUAACCGACUUGCCUAAAUUAUAGUUUGUUAACAAGACAUUUGUAGAGCGGUUGAAAAAUGAGUUUCAAUGACUUCAACCUAAGUGUAUGUAAACUUCCGACUUCAACUGUAGCUAAACUGAUCUGUGAUCUUUCCAGAAUGAACACUGAGAUUCUACUGCUAUCUGCUGAAUGGCUAACGUGACAUGGUUGAUUCAUAUAAAUGCCUUAAUCGAUUGGGCCCAUUUCUGGAGAUGACUACCCUCAAGGAAAACACAGCGCAGAUAACCAUCAUUCUAUACAGUCAAACAAACAAAUUAUAUACACAUUUAAAAAAAACGAAAGGAAGAGAAAUUGCACACAAAAUCCAUACGGUAGCAAAGGGUGGUAUAUACAAAAAAUAAAUAAAAAAUAAAAAAACGGAGAACAACGCUAAAAGUCCUAAAGGAAAUGGAUGAGCAGUACACAUAGAUAUGUAGGCUACAGUAGAGCGAGAGAAGCGAGUUUAGGGACGGUUUAAGGGCUACAGUGAGACAGGAGGCUACGGUGACUGGCUCAGCAUUCAGGAUCUGCAGGAAACAACAACAACAAACAACAACAACAGCGAUGUUCAGCUCAUCUCUCACUGCCCCACAUGGUUCUAAAUUAGUCCCUGCCUCAACAGACAGAGCAAGCGUCAUCAUCUGACCAGUCUGUCUAAAGUAUACCUUUAUAUCUAUGGUUAUGUAUCUAAUAUAUUUCAACUGAUGCAGACAACAGAAUUGGACCGAACCACUCCAUUCCUUUGUCAUCCUACUCUACAUGGGAAACUGUUAUUUGUUUUUCCCUGGCACUGAAACAUACAGGUAACUGCCAAAAUAAUGGAAACACUUGAGUAAAUGAGGGAUGCAAAGUAUAUUUAAAUCAGGUAUUUCCACACAGGUGUGGUUCCUGAGUUAAUAAAGGAAUUAAUAUCCCAUUACGCUAAAGGGAUAUGUUUAAAAAGGUUGGGCAGGCCAUUAUUUUGGCUACCAUGGCUAUGCCCCCAUAGGAUGACAAUGUCCCCAUCCACAGGACACGAGUGGCCACUGAAUGGUUUGAUGAGCAUGAAAAUGAUGUAAACCAUAUGAAAUGGCCGUCACUGUCACCAGAUCUCAACCCAAUUGAACACUUAUGGGAGAUUCUGGAGGGGCGCCUGAGACAGCGUUUUCCACCACCAUCAACAAAACACCAUAUUAUUCCAAGCACUUGUAGAAUCUAUGCCAAGGGGCAUUGAAGCUGUUCUGGCUCGUGGUGGCCCAACACCACCCUAUGAAGACACUUUAUAUGGGUGUUUCCUUGAUUUUGGCAGUUACCUGUUUCUCCAGCAUUCUAAAUUAUGGGUUGAAAGAAAGCACUGAUUAUACAGACAGAAGAUGACACAGAAGAUGGCUGUAGGACCAAAUUACCAAGAGUUGUGUCUGAAAUUACAGCCUCAUGAUGUAUACUUCUCCUUCAAAAUGGGCAAAAAGUAAAGUACUGUAGGACCAAACAUAACCGUAUUAACAGGAGUUGUGUCUGAAAUUACAGCCUCAUGAUAUAUACUGCUACUUCAAAAUGGACAAAAAGUGAAGUAAAAAGGCAAUAAAAUGUACAACAAACAGCAUCUUCAAGAAUACAGCAGUGUCUUCAAAAAGAUUCAUAUUUCAAUAGUAAUUACAGUCUUGCAUACUAUCAGUUCAUUUCUAAUCUCAGACACGUUCUCUUGUCAAUUGGAUUAUCAGUGGUGAUUUCUAUUCAAAAGUUACACCACAGGAUCUGAGGACAAAGAACUAAUACAAGAUCACUCCACAGGUUAAAAUAUAAAUAUAUAUAUAUAUAUAUAUAUAUAUAUAUAUAUAUAUAUAUAUAUAUAUAUAUAAAAGCCCAUGCAAGAAUCCUGAGAGGAGGGAAGAUGUUUCACAUGUUUGUUUUGGUGUCCAGAAUACAGAGUGCAUCUCUGACAGUGGGUUAGAGAGCACAUCGAUUGGAGGGCUAAAAAACAUUGGAAUUUCAUUGAGGCAUUCAUUUAACCAGCAUCACUUGUACCUCAGAUGUUUUAUUCUAAUGAUAACAGGCCAUAUUCAGUCACUUCCUGGGAAGAUACAGCUUAGUCAUGUGAAUGAAAACAUUGUAAUGUUACCAUUGCAAAUCAGAUACAGUUAAAAACCUUCAUUAAAUGACAGAGGUUGGCUUUGUAACCGAAUCUACUCCUGACUGAUGUACUAUAGUGCAAACAGUGUGGAUACAUAGCUCCACUUGAAGGGCCUGGUAGUCUUAAAACAAAAAAAAUGAUCAGCACAAUCUCUUACAAUGUCUGGGGUCCAGUUCGGGGAUUUAUGAAAUUAGUAAAAGAUAACUAUGAAAUAAACUAUGAUUGAAAACCUGGUGUUCUCUCUGAGUAACUCGUGGGAUCCACUUUUGCUUUGGAAGUUGUAUCAUGGCUGCGGGUAGAUGUUUUGGGAGUGCUGUUGAAGGGGGGUGGGGGUCCUAAAGAGUAUUUUUCUCUGCUAAUACAGCAGUAAUAAAGGCCUAGUUCACAAAUGUUAUGAGAAAAUGUUAUAUAUAUAUAUAUAUACACACUUUUUUAUCAGGGGGUGCUGCAGCACCCCUAUUUCCCGCGGCUAUGUACUGUAUCUACCUUCACACCACAAAGUGGCAUUUACCACAUCGGAAGCCACUGGAUGUUUCAUUAUUUUUGGUGACAAUGGGAAAACAAUUAUUGAAAUCAAAACAAUAAAAGUGACUGGAAGAGCAAAGAAUAAUCAACAUGUAAUAUAACAGUAUACACAACCCCAUUGAGGAGAAGGUUGAGGUGAAAAAUGCUUUGUUCUGAGAGACUGCAUCUUUGGAAAUGAGUAAGUUAUCAAGUUUGACCAAUUAUUUCCUGGAAAUUUCAGAAAAGAAAACCCUAUGAACCACUCUUCUUUCCCUUCUUCAGAUCCCUCCAUCUCUUUCUUUCUUCUGCUUGGUUCUUGUCAACAGUCAUUGGGUUGUGGUAGAAGACAUUGACAAGGCAUUCCCGGGACCAUGGAGGUCAUUCAAGAUGUACACAUACGGAAGUGCAAACAAAUUCAACAGGAAUAAUGUACUGUACAAAAUACUACAUCAAACAAUUACCAAAAUACGGACAUCGUCCAGUAGAGGAAUCUCGUGAAACAACAUGGCAUCUUCUUGGAAAAAAACAACCUCGUAAAAAAUGGUUGUCUCCGUCCCGCGGGGACCUUUUCUCUUUUGUCAUUUUUCCCCAACAGACCCGUGUUAAAUUUGACAGUGCCAUUUGGAGUCCAGUUCCUGUGGGAGAGGGGUAGUCUG
rnacentral:lncRNA from 13 species